rnacentral:rRNA from 1 species
AUCAGCCUUUCGGGUGCGAUUCUGUGGAGUUUGAGGAGCUUAACACCUUCAUGCUUUGCAUAUUCGUGCUCUUGGGUGUACUUGCCCGUGUGGUUGGUUAACAUCAAUUUCGGGCACCAUAAAAUGGCUGGAGGAAUGUAGCUUCGAUCUUGUAUUGAAGUGUUAUAGCCUUCGGUAGAUGUGGUGAUCGAGAUUGAGGAUUGCAACGGAUACCUUUCGGGGCUACCUGUCUGAUCUCUGAUCGUUGCUUUGGUGCUGAAAGCGUGCUUAUAGUUAUCAAAGUCGAUGGUCAAUAGGUUAGAAUGGGUUAAAUUCGUUAAGGAUGUUGACGUAAUGGCUUU